UAUUCACCACACCUCUUUUUACAUCGCCCAGCCAUGUGUUGUCCUCCUUCACGCAACAUAUAGCUCCUAUAGCCAGGGCUGGGCGAUGUAAAAAGAGGUGUGGUGAAUA
rnacentral:pre_miRNA from 1 species